AUACGUAGGGGGCGAGCGUUGUCCGGAAUGACUGGGCGUAAAGGGCGCGUAGGUGGCCUUACAAGUCUGGAGUGAAAGUCCCGUUUUUAAGGUGGGAAUGGCUUUGGAAACUGUAAGGCUUGAGUGUGGGAGAGGAUAGCGGAAUUCCCGGUGUAGCGGUGAAAUGCGUAGAGAUCGGGAGGAACACCAGUGGCGAAGGCGGCUAUCUGGACCAAGACUGACACUGAAGCGCGAAAGCGUGGGUAGC
rnacentral:rRNA from 1 species